rnacentral:rRNA from 1 species
GACAGCAGCCGCCGCGGUAAUACGAAGGGUGCAAGCGUUACUCGGAAUUACUGGGCGUAAAGCGUGCGUAGGUGGUGGUUUAAGUCCGUUGUGAAAGCCCUGGGCUCAACCUGGGAAUUGCAGUGGAUACUGGAUCACUAGAGUGUGGUAGAGGAUAGUGGAAUUUCCGGUGUAGCAGUGAAAUGCGUAGAGAUCGGAAGGAACAUCUGUGGCGAAGGCGACUAUCUGGGCCAACACUGACACUGAGGCACGAAAGCGUGGGGAGCAAACAGGAUUAGAUACCCCUGUAGUCCCUGUCUCUUAUAC